rnacentral:rRNA from 1 species
AACGUAGGUACCGAGCGUUAUCCGGAUUUACUGGGCGUAAAGCGUGUUCAGGCGGCCUAGCAAGUCGGGCAUGAAAUCUCUCGGCUCAACCGGGAGAGGCUGUCCGAUACUGCUGGGCUUGAGGACGGUAGAGGGUGGUGGAAUUCCGCGUGUAGUGGUGAAAUGCGUAGAUAUGCGGAGGAACACCAGUGGCGAAGGCGGCCACCUGGACCGUCCCUGACGCUCAAACACGAAAGCUAGGGUAGCGAACGGG